CUAAAAACUGACACUUUUUCAACCGAACACCGCUGAAGCCGUCGACCUCCCCUUCUCAAUCGACAAAAGCAUACAAAUACCGGCCGUUCGGGAGAUUUAAUAACACGAAUGGACUUAACCCAGAUAGCCUUCCCAUGGAGUCAAUCGCAUACCGAAGAACUGUAAUAGACUUUGACUCCAUGGCGAUUGAACUAUGCGUAUGGGAUCUGAGCGCUGUUCGCCAAUAAUAUGCACUCAGAUCCAGGCUAUCUGGGGAUGUGUUAUACAAAUGCAAUACGUUCGGCAGUAUUAAAGUUAUGGAUUUUAAUGUGUUUUAUAACUUUGAGUUAAAAUGGCGAUGUGCCUCUGCUCGGGAAGAUAAUGGAAUUACUUCCCAAUUAUCUCCCGAGCAGAGGGGAGGAAACUGUGAUGCAUGCUGGGAAUAUUGUGGGGAUGUAUGUCCAGAAUGUCCCCAUGUCUUUCUGUCAUUUCAGUCUCCCAUUUGGUCCCCUAGGGGAGUGUCCACCAAAUGGGAGACCUGCAUAAAUACGGGCAGGUAGCCCACAGUAAACUCAGUUCGUGUUUUACCCUCAAAACGGAGCUUGGUCUCGUUAUUGGAGGGGGGGGAUUUUAUUACCGGCGCCUAAAGACUGCUUAUUGGAAUUAUUUGCCGAUUGGAAACUAUUGCCGUUCGGCUGCUAUUGGCGAUUCGUGCAUUUGGAGCUCGAGAAGGGAAAGAGCCGCACAGGUACCGUUCGGGAGUUUGGAGUGUUCCCUAGCUGGCGGCCUCUGCCUGAAGCUCCUUUUCGCGCAAAAGCAGCAGAGUUAGAGAAUAUGUCCGGCCUGUAAUGCUUAACGAAGGUAUUGAACGAUGAUCAAAUAGCCGCCUUACAGAUGUCUUCCGGAGAAGCUGAAGGUCUUUCUGCCCAGGAAGUAGCCAUCGCCCUUGUGGACUGUGCUUUUACCAGAACAUUGAGAGGAACACGACAGGUUUCAUAAGGCAGCUUAAUAGCUUCUGUUAGCCACCUGGCGAUUGUAGGUCUGGAGGCUUCUCUACCUUUACAGAAACCUUGAAAUGUGAUCUAAGAUUCUAAAGUCUUGCGAUCUCUGAAGAUAGAUUUCCAAACAUUUCUUAACAUUUAGAAAAGGCCACGUUCUGCCUCUGAAGAUUGAGUCUGGCAGAAAGAAGGCAAAACAAUAGGGUGGCCCAUAGUUCUUCUGGAAAUAACUUUAGGUAAAAAGGAAGGCCUGGUAUGCAAGACCACCUUGUCUUGGUGGAAUAUGGUAAACUCAGAAGCUAAAGAAAGAGCCCGCAGUUCUCCUAUUCUCUUUGCGGAAGUGAUAGCCACUUAGUGAAAGCCUUUUCAAUUAAACAUUAUGUAAUGGUUCAGAUGGAGGUUCACAAAGAGCCUGGAGGUCCAACGACAAAUCCCAGGUAGGAAAAGCUAGAAGUUUAGGAGGUUGUUUCAGCAAGAUUGACUUAAAAUAUCUGUGGAUAAAAUGGUUGGAUGCUAGAUCACGCACAAGGAAGUUAUUUUAAUGCUGAAAUCUGGACUGACACACCUUGUCCAGCUAAAAAUUAUUCCUGCAGGAAAGACAAAAUGUCUGGAAUAGAGGGAUCAUCUGGACGGCAGCCUUUCAGAACACAUCAGUGCAGGAACUUUAUCCAAAUCCUAAAAUAAAUCUUAGUCUUGGAUGAACAGACAGAUGCCAGAACCACUUCACAUAAAUUAUCUGAAAGCCCUUGCUCACGGAGGAUCAUCCUUGCAGCAGCCAUGCAGUCAGUUUAAACAUUUCCAGGGUCUCUCCUGGAAGAUCUAGAUUCUUUGUGACGUUGUCUGAUAUUGGAAGUACCCAGUGUGAAAUACGCUCUAUUUUGGAAAUGCAGCUCUGGUUUGGUCAAAAGGGAACAACGGUUCGAACCCUUGCUUUGUCCCAUCUGAUCUUUUGAAUUAUCCUUGGUAUCAAGGCUACUGGAGGGAAUACAUAUCCUAUGUUGUAGUUCCAUGUGAGGGACAGGCAGUCUAAGAAGUCUGGAAAAUCAUGUGCCUGGAUAGAAGCAAAGCAUGGGACUUUCCUGUUUUUUUCUUGUGUCCAUUAGAUUGAUAUCUGGUAAGCCAAAUCGGAGUACCAAUCUCAAGAACAUCUAUGGUUCUAGAGACCAACAUUGUCUGCGAUGAAGUCCUGAGUGCCUCUUAUGAGUUGUUGAGCGUGAGUUUACUUUUGUCUGUGCCCAAGACAUGAUACAGUAGCACAGAUCCUGCAAAGAUUUUACUUUUGUGCCUCCUUGACUAUUUAAGUAAGCAACCGUGGUGGCGUUGUCUGAUUGAAUCCUUAGCGCUUGGUUUGCAAUGGCAAGACUGACAGCAACCAGAGCAUUCAUUACUGCCUUCACCUCUCAGAGGUUGGAGGACUCUCUUGCUUCUUUUGAA
rnacentral:lncRNA from 1 species